CCCUAUUAUUUUGGAUCGUUAAAUUUUGUGCCUGAGUAGUAUUAGUUAUGUUCUUGAAACUUAAAGAAUUUGGCGGUAUCUUAUUCCAUCCAGAGGAAUCUGUCUCGUUAUCGAUAGUCCGCGUUGGACCUUACUUAGUUGCUUAGGUUUGUAUACCGCCGUUUAUUGAUUAUCUUUUUAGGGUUGUCUUAAUUUUCUGGUUUCUUUAUUUUGAUUUAUUUCAGGUCAAGGUGCAGCUUGUUUCUAAGUGGAAUGAUGGAUUACAUUGUUAUUUGUUUAUUUGGAUUGUUGGUUUAAAGCACUGAUAUGAAAUUGGAUUUGGUUGUAAUGUUUAUGUAGAUUGUUUUCAUGAUAAUUGGUUCUGGGAUAUGUACACAUCGCCCGUCGCUCUCGUUUUAUUGUUAAUGAGAUAAGUC
rnacentral:rRNA from 1 species